ACUCCUACGGGAGGCAGCAGUGGGGAAUAUUGCACAAUGGGCGCAAGCCUGAUGCAGCCAUGCCGCGUGUGUGAAGAAGGCCUUCGGGUUGUAAAGCACUUUCAGUCGUGAGGAAGGUAGUGUAGUUAAUAGCUGCAUUAUUUGACGUUAGCGACGAGAAGAGCAGCCGCUAACUCCGUGCCAGCAGCCGCGGUAAUACGGAGGGUGCGAGCGUUAAUCGGAAUUACUGGGCGUAAAGCGCAUGCAGGUGGUUUGUUAAGUCAGAUGUGAAAGCCCGGGCUCAACCUCGGAAUUGCAUUUGAAACUGGCAGGCUAGAGUACUGUAGAGGGGGUAGAAUUUCAGGUGUAGCGGUGAAAUGCGUAGAGAUCUGAAGGAAUACCGGUGGCGAAGGCGGCCCCCUGGACAGAUACUGACACUCAGAUGCGAAAGCGUGGGGAGCAAACAGGAUUAGAUACCCUGGUAGGAUAG
rnacentral:rRNA from 1 species